CCGCCUAGUGUACCGGAGAUGGUAGAGGCUCGUCAGUGUAAGACAGAACAUGGAGAAGGUGGCACGCAGCGGUCAGGACAGAGACCAGGCUGCAGCACUGACCAUCAGCCUGAGGCUUCACAGGACACUCUGUGUUCCACCCAUCCGCCUUAUCAACCUGCUGCAGAUCUGUGCAGCCGGCUGCCAGUGGCCUGAUAC